rnacentral:rRNA from 1 species
GUACUUAGCCACCUAGCAUUGGAUGUGAGGAGGACUUUGAGUGUCAUGGAACAUACAUGGCUGUUAGCAGUAUUUUGGACCAACCAACUUCAAUCAUUUCUUGAAUCUUAUGUGUGUUCUAGACCAUUUGGUGCUUCAAGUGUUUUGGAGUAGAAACUUUGUGCUCAUGUAUGUGAUUUGUGUGUUUUGGACCAUUGUUUGAAUUAGUUGAGACUAGCAAUUAGUGGCCCUUUUUAUGUGACUUGUGUGUU